UCUCAAAGGAAACUGACCAGGGGAAGAGAAAUCCCCAUACCGAGGGGAACUGGUGACUGCCGCAUUCUGUGAGCCAGACUCGGACCGAGACCAGGAGUCUAGCAUUUGGUAAGGAGACCUUCUCUGAUUUCCCUGUGUUUAAAGCACACCCCUUGCCUCAGCUACACUUAGUGUCUCGGAUUCCACAGUUGUUCUGAUUCAACAGAGCAAACAGGUCUCAGAAUUGUAGGCAGUCACUUGGGAGCCGGGACUGAGAGGGGUGACCUGGGGUCUGACAGCUUCAGGCACGGUCUCCAGCCAGCCCUACUGCUCUCGGGCCCCUGACCCCCUCAGUGCCUGGUGCCCCCAAUUCCAGAGACCCUGGAACUCUGUGGCAUGAGUCCCUGCCGGCUUCCAGGCUUCCCAUCCUGCUGUGCUAGGUUUCAGCUUUCUUUUGUCUGUUAAGUCAAUUACCAUGGGUUAGACCACUUCCCAGCGUCCAAAAAUUUUGUCGCAGUCAUUGUUUCUUCUGUUCUCUUUGUCUUUGAGAGUUUAGUGAACCCGUCCCCCCAUACUUUAAAAAAUUCCUUUUCUCUCAUUUCAGUCCAUCACGUUUACUGGUGAGUGACUCUCCCUCCUGCUCUCAGUUCUUUCUUCUGUAUCUAUACCCCUCUGCUGCAGGUGCCCAUUUGGGACAGAAUGCUAACAGGCCACGGUACACUGUCAGCUCAACAAUAACCAUUAUAAAUGUCCAGACCCUGAACAGAGUGGUUCUUGGGCAUUUAUACCAGGUAUGUUAGCAUCUUCUCUGUCAGGUCAGUGAUCCUCCUUCCUUGUAGGUGUGGAGUAUCAGGCAGAGGCACUUCUCAAUGUGUUUGACGCUGUUGCUUAUCAGAAUUCUGUGAGGAUAACCGUGCGGCACGCGGACCCCUCUGAAUAUAUAUGUUCGUUUCCUUCUGUCCUCGCCGGAAGCCCAUUGCAGGCUCAGUGGUCACAUGGACCCAGCAGCAUCCAUUAUCUGAGGCGAUGAGUUCACUCCAGUUGUGGUACCUCCUUUCCACACCCCAGAGACAAGUGUAGGAAGGAGCAUGCGAUCCAAGUCUGGGCAAUGAGGUGUGAAGGAAUGUCUCUUAUAGAGCUUCUAGGGAAGGUUUGCUCAUUACUAAGAAAAAGACACACAAAAAAACAAAUGAACCCUUUGCUUCCUUGGUACACUGCUGUCUAGAACGGCUGUAGGCAUCUUGCCACCAGCCUUAGGAUGAAACCAACAUGCAUGAGAGAGCAGAUCCCAGAGAGGCGUCAAGAAGCACCAUCUUUCUCUGCACUUCCCAUCAUGAGUGAAGGCAGACCACGGGCUCACCUUAAGGAAGAUCUGAGCUGCCCGAUUCCUCAUUCUGAUUCCAAGCAGGAUUCCUCUCUACUCUACUGAUUUUGCAGGCAGAUGAAAGUAAUUCUGUCUUCCAACUUCAAAGGAAGGAAUAACCAGUGAGACAUUUUGAGGGGAAAAGAGGAUUCCUUUGCUUUGGAGAUUACUAGCCGAUCCCAGCGAGAGAACGUCUUGGGGCUGUCCCAGAAAUGAACACCGUUCUUAAAAUGAGGAGGCCAUGAAGAAACCCCGUGCACUCCAGCCUGUGAAAAAGCCAAGCGCGUACCACUCACUCCCUCGGGGGUGGAGGCUGGCAGGUCUGUCUGGACACUUGGUAUCAUUUCCUCUGUCUUCCACCCUUUGUCUUUCGUGUAUCCCAGACUUGGGGAAGCUUGGACGAUGAAAUAAACUCCGGAAGUGCUCAGUGGAAUGCAGGAGAAAGUAGACGGACCGUUCCUGUUUUCUCCUGUCUGACUCAAGUGGCAACGACACACUGUCUUUAUUUUUAUGAACAGGAGGCCCUCCUGAUCUCUUCCAUUCCCAGUAUAAUGUCAGCCUGAAGGGAAGCCUUUGAUUGCGCUUAGCAUUAUACCAUCAUUUUCCUGCUUGUAUCUGCAUCUAAACCAAGACUGUAAGGACAGGCACUUCGUAUUGUAAUGUAGCCAAGAUUUAUUGAGCACCUACUACUUGCACUGUUACAAGCUUUACACAUAUGAACUUAUCCUCACAACAAUCCUGUGUAGAAGGUACCACUAUUAUUAUUAUCAUCCCUGUCUUACAAUGGAGAUCACUUGAGGCACAUGGUAUUUAGGGAAAUUGCUCAAGGUCGUCGAGCUUUUCAGUGGUGGAACAGAGAUUCAGAUGUCGGCAGUCUGGUUCUGGAGGCCAUUCUGUGCUAUAUAGCAUGUAUGUUUCAUGCUAUGUAAUUCAUCAUUACAGCCUGAACACCCUUACACCAUCUGUAGUAUGCAAUAGGGAUUCAAACGUUACUGUGACUGAAUAAACUCAAGGAUUUUUCAGUCA